CUAUAUGUGUAAAUGUGAGCAAGUAGUUUAGAGUGCUCUCAUUACUCAAAUUAACACUGAGAGAAAAAGACUGAUACCCAGGGAGCUAGAGUGAAAUGGUGUGAUUUCAAUGCUGUGCGUGGAGAUUUGUACUCGUUAGAAGACAUUUAUAUUGCUACCAUUACUGUAAAUGUAGGAUAUGAUAUGUGCAAAUUUACUAAUGUUAUUACUUGCAUUGAUUAAAAUUUCCACCCCGUAAACCUCAGUUCUUGAAUUU